rnacentral:rRNA from 1 species
AUGUCAAUUAGCUGUUGGGGCACUUGAUGCCUUAGUAGCGAAGCUAACGCGUGAAAUUGACCGCCUGGGGAGUACGGUCGCAAGAUUAAAACUCAAAGGAAUUGACGGGGACCCGCACAAGCGGUGGAUGAUGUGGAUUAAUUCGAUGCAACGCGAAGAACCUUACCUGGUCUUGACAUGUACGGAAUCUUCCAGAGACGGAAGAGUGCCUUCGGGAGCCGUAACACAGGUGCUGCAUGGCUGUCGUCAG